AACGACUCUCGGCAACGGAUAUCUCGGCUCUCGCAUCGAUGAAGAACGUAGCGAAAUGCGAUACUUGGUGUGAAUUGCAGAAUCCCGUGAACCAUCGAGUCUUUGAACGCAAGUUGCGCCCCAAGCCGUUAGGCCGAGGGCACGUCUGCCUGGGUGUCACGC
rnacentral:rRNA from 8 species